CAUGCAAGCUGUUCAUUUUGCAUUAUUUUUGCUCAUUUUUCCAUGAGCUACUCAAAAUUUUGUAGAGGAGUGACAUGAUGACAUCACUGAAAGAGAGCCCGCCAAUCAGGAGUCAUCAUGGACCAUGUUCUACUUGUGCUUUUACACACUUCCUGUCAUACACUCUGCCAGUCUGUGACAUUUUCAGCCUCAGAAAAGUGUUUUAAAUGAGUGACAUGACAUCAUUCUGAGAAAUAAGACAAUUUCAGAGAAUAAAAUAAAAAGUGACCCUGAAGUUUGUACUGAAAAUCUGUAGCACUUCAUGACUCAUGCAAUAUACAGCUGUGCAAGAAUAAUGACUCAUAAUCGCACUGGUGUCACCCAGAAGGUUCCUUUUUUAAUUCUGGUUCCUGUCAAGGUUUCUUCCUCAUGUCAACACAGGGAAUUUUUCCUCACCAUCAUCACCUCUGGCUGCUCAUAAUAGUCAAAUUUAUAUCUGUGUCCAGAUUUCUGUAAAGCUGCUGUGUGACAAUGUCCAUUAAUUAUUAAAAUCUAUAUACAUAAAUUCAAAUUAAAUUGAAGAGGAGUGACAUAAUGACAUCAUUCUGAAGAGGAGUGAGGCAGACGUGGUGAUGCGUGAGGCAAAGCGGCAUGGUGAGGUGAGGAAGGUGUGGUGAGGUGAGGUGAGGAAGGUGUGGUGAUGUGAGGUGAGGAAGGUGUGGUGAUGUGAGGUGAGGAAGGUGUGGUGAUGUGAGGCGAGGAAGGUGUGGUGAUGUGAGGCGAGGAAGGUGUGGUGAUGUGAGGAAGGUGUGGUGAUGUGAGGUGAGGAAGGUGUGGUGAUGUGAGGCGAGGAAGGUGUGGUUAUGUGAGGUGAGGUAGGUGUGGUGAUGUGAGGCGAGGAAGGUGUGGUGAUGUAAGGUGAGGAAGAUGAGGCAGGUGUGGUGAUUUUGAGCCGAGGAAAGUGAGGAAGGUGUGGUGACGCAUGCAGUGAGGAAAGCAUGGUGAGAUGUGAGGUGAGGCAGGUGUGGUGAGGUAAGGUGAGGCAGGUGUGAGUAUAUUAAAG
ensembl:lncRNA